AACAGCAAAAGAAGAGCAGCCUACGCAAAGAACAAUUACCACAGCGACCUGUCUUGGCUUCUUCGUGAUAGAUCCUGGAGCUCCUUUGAGCUGAUUCACACGAGGACGAGUAGCAGAGGCUCCGUGGUUGGAGAUGAACUCCACGGACAUCAAAGCCGCUUCUACAGCAGCGCCACAAGGAGAGUUUAGAGUCUGGAGCAAUUAAUGCUGGCACACAGAGACGUCUCUGUCCAAAGCUGCUGGGAGAGAACAGGGGCUUUGGUGGAAAUACAUAUCCCACCUGUGGGGUGGUGCGGUGAUUAGUGCUAUCACCUCACAGCAAGAAGUUCCCUGCUUCAGACCUCGGCUUCAGCACAGCACUUCAAUCAAAACAGGAUGCAAAACAGAAGCCAUUUUCCCAUUGUGUGGACGUUCCGGGAUGGCAGGAGAUCUCCAUGUAUAUGACCUGAAAUUGCGCGCCGCUGGAGGGAACCCAGCAUUCCUCCUCCUUUUACGUCCUCAUCCCCUCUUCCAGGCCCGGUGACAGACCACAGAGCACAGCGGCAGGAAGUGGAGCAGAGAAACGACGGAGCGCAGCGUGUGACUGGUAUUAAACGCGUACAGCACACGCACUUCUGCAGCAAUACAACAAAACCAUCAGGAAGCUCCGUUUGUUUUAUAACCUGUCGUCCCCUGAGAGGCUUUUCCACAUUACUCACCCCUGAUUAUUCCACACAUGUCUCAGACCUACAAGGCUGCCGUGGUAAAAGUCUGCUCAUAUUUUUAGCAUUUGAUUUCACCUCUUCCUGUCUGCAUCAAUCAAAGCCCAGUGUGCCGUCGGAGCGCUGUUGUGCCUUCACAUUUUGAUGAGCAGCAUGAAAGUGACUGGGAAAGGAGAGCGUCUCCCAUGGAAAUGAACAAACGGUCCACAGUCGGACUCUUAACUUUCAUAAAAGAGACUUUUACGUUAAACCCUUUCCGUAAAACCUGUUUGCAGUUCUUGAAUGUCCUGUCAACCAUUAUUUCCGUGAGAUCUGAGACUGUGAGGAUGCAGUUUGUGCUUUUAGCUCGUAGAUGAAAUGCACAGUGCAGUGAAUUUUAUUUGACCGACACAAAGCAGUGCUUCGUUGUAAAGGGUAAAGAAAAAUUACACGUGAUGUUUGAAUUUUUUACAAAUAAAAUACAGUAUGUACAUCCUCCAAGACUUUACAGAACCAUCUUUCCAUUCUAUUGUGUGUUGAGACUGAUGUGUUGCGUUUCCCUUCAUGUAAAGCUUUGUGCAUGGAGGCCAGAAAGUCCUAUUUUGAUCUCUUUCAACCAGAGCUCCUUUUUUCACACAUUUUCUGUGCAAGUAAGCAGAAGUUCCUAUGGUUGUCAUUCAAUAAAUCUACCUGCCACUCAUUAAUAAAAGCCAUAUUUAGAGAGCGUGCAUCAGUCUGCUUGAUAUUCUUGCUAUGUGUUGAGAGACGAUCCCGCUGUGGUUCUCUCCGUCUCCUUCAAUGUCACCGUUGGCCUCUUCACUGCUUGUCCGAUUAUUGUGCUCCAGCUUCAGUUUAGAUUUUCACAAAGUCUUACACUUCUAAUUAAGUAGAAAAGUUGAUUUGGUUCUGAAUUUUGUGCCACUUUAGUUUCAUUUCAAUAGGGCCUUUCGUUUUAAUCAGCAUCUGUUGGGGCCUUUUUUUUCUCACAUUGUUGUG